AGGCAAGCAGCCUCAGGCCAGUGCUGGACUCUUUCUUAACUUGGAUCGGCUGUGGGAGGUCACGUGAGCCGAUGUGUCUUGCCAGAAGGUGCCAAGUGGCCUCCAGUCCUCUCCCUGGGCCUGUGAGGAUACCUUUUGUCCACCAAAUGUCGAUGAAGGACAGUGCCUCUGUUUCAAAUGUGGUCCAUCUGGGGAAUCGCAGAGGCGUCACAAAUGGCCCUGUGCCAGCCGCCGCCACCUGGCAUGUGGCUCAGCAGCUCUGUCUUUGUCAUUCAGACCCACCGAGGCCAAUCUCAUUCAUAAUCCGAACCUGCAGUCCCUCGGAUCCCUGAAUGGGCAUCUGCUUCAGCAGCCCCUGGCUGAAUGGACGUGGAGCUUGGGCAGAGCCACCAGGAAGGUUUCCAAGUCAGCCCCCCCCCCCAGGAUUGGAGACACAUCCUACCGCAAUGCCAUCAUCAAAUAGAAUAAGGAGACUCUUCCUUUACUGACACGGAACGAACACCAAGAUAUAUCAUUAUGCAAAACAUUCAAGUGGAACUCUGGGUGAUGUUGAUGUCCUUCUCUUCGUAUAUCUUCAUUUUCUAAUUGCUCUAUAAUUGGUCACAGAAACCUCCCAGCGGCCCUCGGAGGGGGCCACAAAUGUGCCGAGGCUGCCCAGCCAGGUGGUGGCAUGCAGACUCAGAGCCAAGCCUUGCUCCAGAGCCCAGGGUCUCGGCCGCACCAGCGUGGCGCCCCUCCCGAAGGUUGCCAGGCAUCCAGUUCAAAGUGGAGUUUCGAGACGGUGACUUGUAACCGUGAGCCCAGGAUCUCCUGAGGCCCUAACAGGAGCAUGAACCACAACUACCAAGUCCACAGACACCGAUGCCAACGGCGGGCUGCAUUAGCCCAUUGCAGAGACUGGGUGACUGAGGCUUAGAGACUCGGGGAGAUUUCCACACACCUGGGGGAGCAUUCUCACCCCUAGGUCCCCAAGCAGGUGGCACAGAGAAGGCACAGCUUGGGCUAAGAAAACCCACCAGAGCAGCACCAGCCUGAGACAAAGGGAGCCAGGUUUCGCUUUCCUCUGAGCGGGACACUCUGAGAUUAAAAAGGACAAAGGAAGGAAAGAGCCGGGAUGUUUGCAAAGAUGUCGCAAACCUCCCACUUCCCUCGGCCAGAAAAGUGAGAAGAACUUCCUUCCCCCCAAGUGCAGCAGAUUGGCUGCUUCUCCACAGAGACCCCUGGGGGGACCUCCGAGGUCAGCAAGUCUGAUGCUCACUGGUUCGUCACAUUGCUCUUGCCCUGCGCUCACAGACACCUCGGCUGUCUCCUCCUUGUCCACAGCCUUGGGAGGAAGGGGAGGCUGAAGCCCACAGCUCAGGAUCCAUUAAAGGGCUGCCCUCCUGACCACGUUGACCUUGACUGCCUCGCCGGCCCACGGCCAUGGUGAUCCCGCCCCUUGCUCCAGUUCCUGGGCCACCCGCCCUCAGAACCACAUGGGCUUCAACAUGGGGACUGAGCCAUGUACCCUAGACAACCACGGGAGGCCCCCCCUUCCCUGCGACCUGCAGAAUGAGGAGCAAGCAAAGCGGUCAUGCCCAGAGGUGAGAAAAGUGGGUAUGGACAGAGGAGCAGCCACGGGAGAGAGGAGCGCGCUUCCAGUUGUCUUCCCUCCCUUCGGCCAGGCUGACCACCUUCCCCUUGGGAGCAAGCAGUGACCCUGAACUCUGAUUCUAGUCCCCCCUCCCUCCCAGCUUUGCUGACUCCGUUUCUGAUACUUGCAACCAAACAAGCUCAGCCAGCGCCCGCGGUCACUCCCCGGGACAUGAAGACCUCGUCCAGACACCUGGAAAAAAGUCAAGAGCAAACCCCAGGCUAAAACUCACAUGGAACCGGCCGAAACAGUUCAGGGGAAGUCCGUUCAGCAAGUGUCAAUCAACCCUCUCUCAGGAGGCCACUCAGGGCCACUGGAAUACACACCCUGCCGUGGAGCAGCUUAGAGUGGAAGGAAAAGAAUCGCUAACAAAGCCAGCGAGGGUAACGAGGGGACGAGGGGACGUGCAAUCAGGGCUUAAACUGGGUCCUAAACCAGAGGUGAGCUCCUAGGAGUCCAGCUCCCUGGGGUUACCAGAGGUGGAGCAUCUCCAAGGACAGGGCAAAGGGCAGGAUCUUUGCAAACACACAGCCUCUGGAAGAUGAAGAAGAGGCCAGGUGGGCUGGAUGGAGGCCCCAGGGAAUGGCAGAACAGGUUGGAAAGAUGAGGGGGAGCCAGCCCGUGGGGUGAGGGAGCAGGUCCAGGUAGGAGUGCCGUCCUCCCAUCGUCAUGCCAUCGGCCACCUCCACACACCACUUGCGAUAUCAUUCACGGCUUUAUUGAAAUGGACUUCCUUUUUAAUUUAUGAUAUUUUAAUAAAGGAAAGUUCUGGAAAAGCUAACCACAAGGCUAUCCUCUGACCUAGAAAUUCCACUCUUAGGAAGGUUCUCAGAAGAGUUGAAAACAGCCGGGCACAGUGGCACAUGCCUGCGAUCCCAGCCGCUCAGGAGGCUGAGGUGGGAGGAUGGCGAGUUGUAGGCCAGCCUCAGCAACUAAGCAAAACCCUGUCUCAAAAUAUAAAGGGCUGGGAACAUGGCUCAGUGGUUAAGUAUCCCUGGGUUCAAAAGCAAAAGGGGGAGAGAGUGUUGAAAACAUAUAUUCAGACAUACAAAGACUGUACACGUCUAUUCACUGCUAUUCCAAACAGCCAAGAAGUGGAAGCAACCCAACGAAUGGAUGUGCAAAAUGUGGGAUAUCCUACCAUGGAAUAUUAUUCAGUCAUGUAAAUGGAUAAUGUGGUGGUAUGUGCUACAGUAUGCUUGAACCUGGAAAGCAUUUUAAGAAACCAGUCACGAAGGAGCACAAAUUGUAUGAUUCCAUUUAUAUGAAACGUCCAGAAUAUACAUACCUAUAGAGACAGAAAGGAGAUUAGUGGUUGCCAAGAGCUGGGGAGAAGGAAUAAAUGAGGAGUCACUACUAAAGGGUUCAGAGUUUCUUGGGGGGGAGUAUGAUGAGAAUAUUCUAGAAUGGGUGGUGAAGGUGCAAAACAUUGUAAAUUUGUUUAAAAAAGCACUGAAUUGCACUUUUUUUUGAUGGUUAAAAUGGUGAGCUUUCUGUGAAUUUGGGCUCAAUGAAACACUCUUUGAAAGAAAUGGAAUGAAAAAUCAGGAUCUCUGAACAUAGCUAGAAGUUUGCCACAAAAAUAAACACAGCCAAAACAAAA